GGCGCUGUAGCCAAGUGGUUAAGGCGAUUGAUUCGAAUGUUCACCAUAGCGUGUCGACUAUCAAUUCCACUUUGUGGGCGCAGGUUCAAAUCCUGCCGGCGUCG
rfam:Fistulina hepatica ATCC 64428 unplaced genomic scaffold FISHEscaffold_375, whole genome shotgun sequence.